rnacentral:lncRNA from 1 species
UUACAAUAUUUAAUAUUUCCCAUUGGUAUGUUCGAAUAAAAAUGAUGUAGACAGGUACGUGUCAGGUUUUUUUUUUAAACUCAUCUAUUUGACUCCAGGUAUUUAGUAUGGUAAUAUAUUAUGUACUUACAAAUUUCGGAAUAAUUGAUAUAAUGCACACCCCUGCAUUAAUUUAUAAGUCAUAAUUCAUCAUGCUAUACAAGUGUUUUGCCCCUAGGUGCCGCAUUUUGAAGUGAUUAAGGGAAAUCCCUCUAAUUCAGGUAACUGAUAAGCGAUGAUGAAAAUAAUAUGAUCUACAGUUAAGCUAUGAAAAAAAUAACCGAAAAUUAAAGUGGUAAUCCUCCCAGUUUGAAGAAUUUUUCUCUAAUAUAUUUCUAGAUCCUAGUAGUCGUUCUAACCCUUCCUUCUUUACUUGUUCCUUUAUAUACAGUGUAAAUACAAAAUAGAAAAUUUUCUACGUUGCUUGCAGACAUCAUAUAUCAGAGGUGAUAAUUGGAGGAGCCUGGGAGGCUAUUUUUGGCAAGAGUCAGGGUCUAGACAAUACAAUUUUUGGUAAAUUAAAGGAAGUUUAGUCCAUGUUUGAUAAGAACAAUCCAAGAAUUUUAGCCAAUGUUGAAAAAGAUUUGGACCUCAUGAAGUAAAAAAUCAAUUAAUACCAUAAACAAUUUUCUAGAGAAGACAUCUCCAAGGGUAGACUUCAGAGAAGUAGCAGAGCUGUGCUUGAUUAUUCUCGGUAAGAAACCAAGUAGAGGUAUUCAUUGGAUCAAGCCCGGUGCAAAUCAUCUAAUCAUGGCCUUGUAUAUAUAUGCUAUGAAAAUGUUAAUGUUUCAAAUGGACUAAAAUAUGAAAAGGACAACAUCAUUGAACUAGAGAUAAUUAAAAAAACCAAAAAAAACCUGGCUUUAUUUUAUAUAAAGUACUGCAUAACAGCAAAAUUUACCAUCGAUUUGCAAUGGAGCAUGCUUCAGUAUCAAAAUACUAAUAAUAAACUCGCAACCUCUGUUUUGAAGAAAAUGAGAAAUCACGGUGAGUAUCCGACUCAGAAAUUAGUUCAUUUCACCUUAUUCAGUUCACAUGAGAGAAUGACAACGCCUAUAAAACAAAAGCUGGCAAUCAAGCUAUCAAAAACCGAAAAGCUGGAGUGUUGCGGAAAAGAUAAGCCAGUUUUUCAAGUCAUCACUGAUGCUGCAUGCUUUACAGACUUGGUGGGACCUUAGUCACAUUAUAUUUUUGACUCUCUUGGAUUGAAAAGUGACUGGCUUAUUACAACUUGGGAAAAUAAUGAAAACUAUAGAGCAGAAUGGGAGAUUGUGAAGUCAGUAAAAGUGACUAAUUAUGUUACUAAAUAAGCGUAAAACUCAUGAGUGACUUUGCAACUAGGAUUGCCAUCGACCAAGAGCAGAGAAACUGUUUACUGCAUGUUGUGGAAUACCACAGAAAAUAAAUAUAUUAGUUUCAAGAAAUCUAAUUAAUGUAUAUCUAGUAUGUUAUAUUAUUGUUUUUUUAGUAUAGAGUUAUAAGCUUUGUUCAAGGAAAAAAUGUAUUUUAUUCUAUUGUAUUCUAUUUUUGUAUACAUAAGUAUACGUCAAGAUAAUAAUAAAUUAGGAGAAUAUCUAAAAAGGCUGGGGGAAAAUGGAAAAAAUAUAAAGCCAUUGUGAAGCUAUAGUCAAAAGAAUACAAUAAAAUUAAGUUUUUUUGCCUUUUCUAGAGCCUCUAACAAUACAUUUUCAAACCAAAUAUUAAAAGGUUUGAAGAAAAAAAAAAGUUAAAACAUGUCUAAUGUACAUCCUUUUAAAUAAUUAAUCCCUUAAAAAUAUAAUUCAGUGUAUGAUUGUACCCCCAAUCAAAUCGUCUCCUUUUUUGGCCUUUCCUCAGUCCUGUACUUCAGUAUUUAGGUAGGGUUUGUGGAACACUACAUGCCUGGUGCCUUUUGGGUCCACCCUUUUGGCGACGAGGAAAAUAACUAAUAAGUACCUCAAUGGAAUUUGUUUCGAGUGAGGAGGAGCUUCUUAAACUUAGGAACGCCGAGCUUAUUAUGUUGACAAAGGAUCCUCUCAUCAACAGUCAAACUGUCAUUUUUGUCACUAGGAGUAACUCAACAACCCCUUGUUCGGGAUAUCUGGUCCCCAAAGAGGUCAUUGAUGAGUAUCAUGGCUCGACGAGUUCAACAACUAAGUGUCUUGAAUGGGUAAGAUGUCCCAGGAUAUAAAAGUCUGGACUCCUAUUACACUAUGCUGGUCCUGAGGUUCAACAAUGUAGGAAUACCUUGAACAUUGAGAAAAACCCAAAUGUGGACUCUUAUUCUACACUGGUAAGGUGUGUUAACGAUGCUUUCUCUCUAGUCGAGUCAAUUCUUGGUGAGCGUCAUCGCCUGACUAAACUCAAGUAAAGUCAGGGUGACUCUGGAUGACCUCGUUACUCGUCUUAGGAAACAGUCACGCUUCUGUUCAUUUUUGUGUCGGGGAUGUGAAGCGCCUUAUGAGGAGGACAUAUAGCUCAGUUCCCUUUCUCUUGGGUAUUCUUUAUCUCAAGCUCCGCUACGCUGCUUCUGAGAAUGAUCUCUGUAACAUCCACGAAGUAAUUUCCCUUGGAAGAUCUAUAGAAUCCGCCGAUAUUCAUUCUAUUGAGAUGGAAACUUGUGCGUCCGCUUUUGUUUCUAUGUCGGAGUACAAAGGUGCUAAGGGCCUGCAACAAGGAAAAAGAUGAUCAAGAUUUCAAUGAAGCCUUCCCAACUUUGUAAAUUUUGCAAUACUACUCAUCUAUUCAUGAAAAAGGGUUGUCCUGUCAUGGGUAAGUAAUGUAUCAAAUGUGUGAAGGCCAACGAUUUCAGUUCCUCUUGCAAGGCGAUUCCUACUCCUUCAUGUUCAACCGUGCUUAGACUUUCUAAACAAGAUGAUGCCGACCGAACACACGUAUAUUUGUCCACACAUCGAAAAAGUGUCAAAUUUCUUCUAGAAUUAGGAGCUAAUGUGAAUCUUGUUCCUCUAUCUAUGGAUCCUGAUCUUGGGGGGAGAGAGUAUUAUAGAUUUUAAGAUACUAUUAGUCGUUCUAAUCCUUCCUUCUUUACAUCUUCCUUUAUGUACAUACAUUGUAAAUAAAAAUAAAAUAGAAUAAACUAAGUCGUAAGCAGUUCUACAUGGGAAUCUUAUGAGCUGAGACCUUUAAU